UACGUAGGGUGCAAGCGUUGUUCGGAAUUCCUGGGCGUAAAGCGCGUGUAGGCGGUUCGUAAAGUCGGAUGUGAAAGCCCUGGGCUUAACCCAGGAAGUGCAUUCGAAACUCACGAACUUGAGUCCCGGAGAGGAAGGCGGAAUUCUCGGUGUAGAGGUGAAAUUCGUAGAUAUCGAGAGGAACAUCGGUGGCGAAGGCGGCCUUCUGGACGGUGACUGACGCUGAGACGCGAAAGCGUGGGGAGCAAACAGG
rnacentral:rRNA from 1 species